rnacentral:rRNA from 1 species
AUUGAACGCUGGCGGCAGGCCUAACACAUGCAAGUCGAGCGAGCGGCGGGCGGGUGAGUAAUGUCUGGGGAUCUUCCUGAUGGAGGGGGAUAACUACUGGAAACGGUAGCUAAUACCCCAUACCAUCAGAUGAACCCCUAUGGGAUUAGCUUGUGGGUGAGGUAACGGCUCACCUAGGCGACGAUCCCUAGCUGGUCUGAGAGGAUGAUCAGCCACACUGGGACUGAGACACGGCCCAGACUCCUACGGGAGGCAGCAGUGGGGAAUAUUGCGCAAUGGGCGCAAGCCUGAUGCAGCCAUGCCGCGUGUAUGAAGAAGGCCUUCGGGUUGUAAAGUACUUUCAGUCGGGAGGCGUUACCGACAGAAGAAGCACCGGCUAACUCCGUGCCAGCAGCCGCGGUAAUUC